UACGUAGGGUGCAAGCGUUAAUCGGAAUUACUGGGCGUAAAGCGUGCGCAGGCGGUGAUGUAAGACAGAUGUGAAAUCCCCGGGCUCAACCUGGGAACUGCAUUUGUGACUGCAUCGCUGGAGUGCGGCAGAGGGGGAUGGAAUUCCGCGUGUAGCAGUGAAAUGCGUAGAUAUGCGGAGGAACACCGAUGGCGAAGGCAAUCCCCUGGGCAUGCACUGACGCUCAUGCACGAAAGCGUGGGGAGCAAACAGG
rnacentral:rRNA from 1 species